rnacentral:rRNA from 1 species
GACGAACGAUGGCGGCGUGCCUAACACAUGCAAGUCGAGCGAUGAAAUCCCUCGGGAUGGAUUAGCGGCGGACGGGUGAGUAACACGUGGGUAACCUACCUCAAAGAGGGGGAUAGCCUCCCGAAAGGGAGAUUAAUACCGCAUAACAUUAGUUUUUCGCAUGAAGAAUUAAUUAAAGGAGUAAUCCGCUUUGAGAUGGACCCGCGGCGCAUUAGCUAGUUGGUGAGGUAAAGGCUCACCAAGGCGACGAUGCGUAGCCGACCUGAGAGGGUGAUCGGCCACAUUGGAGCUGAGAUACGGUCCAGACUGCUACGGGAGGCAGCAGUGGGGAAUAUUGCACAAUGGGCGAAAGCCUGAUGCAGCAACGCCGCGUGAGUGAUGAGGGCCUUCGGGUUGUAAAGCUCUGUCUUUGGGGACGAUAAUGACGGUACCCAAGGAGGAAGCCACGGCUAACUACGUGCCAGCCGCCGCCGUAACAC